rnacentral:rRNA from 1 species
AUGAACGCUGGCGGCGUGCCUAAUCCAUGCAAGUCGAGCGAACAGACGAGGAGCUUGCUCCUCUGACGUUAGCGGCGGACGGGUGAGUAACACGUGGAUAACCUACCUAUAAGACUGGGAUAACUUCGGGAAACCGGAGCUAAUACCGGAUAAUAUAUUGAACCGCAUGGGUCAAUAGUGAAAGACGGUUUUGCUGUCACUUAUAGAUGGAUCCGCGCCGCAUUAGCUAGUUGGUAAGGUAACGGCUUACCAAGGCGACGAUGCGUAGCCGACCUGAGAGGGUGAUCGGCCACACUGGAACUGAGACACGGUCCAGACUCCUACGGGAGGCAGCAGUAGGGAAUCUUCCGCAAUGGGCGAAAGCCUGACGGAGCAACGCCGCGUGAGUGAUGAAGGUCUUCGGAUCGUAAAACUCUGUUAUUAGGGAAGAACAAAUGUGUAAGUAACUAUGCACGUCUUGACGGUACCUAAUCAGAAAGCCACGGCUAACUACGUG